GACGAACGCUGGCGGCGUGCUUAACACAUGCAAGUCGAACGGCAAGGCCCUGCUUUUGUUGGGUGCUCGAGUGGCGAACGGGUGAGUAACACGUGAGUAACCUGCCCUUGACUUUGGGAUAACGUCAAGACACUGGUGCUACUACCGGCUAGGAGCUCCUGCUGCAUGGUGGGGGUUGGAAAGCUUCGGCGGUUGGGGAUGGACUCGCGGCUUAUCAGCUUGUUGGUGGGGGAGUGGCUUACCAAGCCUUUCAUAGGUAGACUGCCUGGGAGGGUGACCGGCGACAUUGGGACCGAGAGACGGCCCAGACUGCAACGGUAGGCAGCAGUGGGGAAUAUGGCACAAUGGGCGGAAGCCUGAUGAAGCAACGCCGCGGGCGGGAUGACGGCCUUCGCGGGAUAAACCGCUUUCGCCUAUGACGAAGCGGGAGUGACGGUAAUGGGUGAAGAAGCACCGGCUAACUACGUG
rnacentral:rRNA from 1 species